UACGUAGGGACCAAGCGUUGUUCGGAUUUACUGGGCGUAAAGCGUGCGCAGGCGGUUUUGUAAGCCAGAUGUGAAAGCCCCAGGCUUAACCUGGGAAUGGCAUUUGGGACUGCAAGGCUUGAGUGCGGCAGAGGAGACUGGAAUUCCUGGUGUAGCGGUGAAAUGCGUAGAUAUCAGGAGGAAUACCGAUGGCGAAGGCAGGUCUCUGGGCUGACACUGACGCUCAUGCACGAAAGCGUGGGGAGCAAACAGG
rnacentral:rRNA from 1 species